rnacentral:rRNA from 1 species
AUUGAACGCUGGCGGCAUGCCUUACACAUGCAAGUCGAACGGCAGCACGGGUGCUUGCACCUGGUGGCGAGUGGCGAACGGGUGAGUAAUACAUCGGAACGUACCUUAUCGUGGGGGAUAACGCAGCGAAAGUUGCGCUAAUACCGCAUACGCCCUGAGGGGGAAAGCGGGGGACCGUAAGGCCUCGCGCGAUUAGAGCGGCCGAUGUCUGAUUAGCUUGUUGGUGAGGUAAAAGCUCACCAAGGCGAUGAUCAGUAGCUGGUCUGAGAGGACGAUCGGCCACACUGGGACUGAGACACGGCCCAGACUCCUACGGGAGGCAGCAGUGGGGAAUUGUGGACAAUGGGGGCAACCCUGAUCCAGCAAUGCCGCGUGAGUGAAGAAGGCCUUCGGGUUGUAAAGCUCUUUUGUCAGGGAAGAAACAGCAGCUCUAACACAGUCUGCGAAUGACGGUACCUGAAGAAUAAGCACCGGCUAACUACGUGCCAGCCGCCGCUGUAACAC